UGUUCGAGCGUCAUUAUAACCACUCAAGCCUAGCUUGGUAUUGGAGUUUGCGGCCUCGUAGCUCCUAAAACCAGUGGCGGUGCCGGUGUGGCUCUACGCGUAGUAAUUCUUCUCGCGAUGGAGUUCCCCUGGUUACUUGCCAGAAUCCCCAAUUUUUACAGGUUGACCUCGGAUCAGGUAGGGAUACCCGCUGAACUUAA
rnacentral:misc_RNA from 1 species